rnacentral:rRNA from 1 species
UACGGAGGGUGCAAGCGUUGUUCGGAAUUAUUGGGCGUAAAGGGCGCGUAGGCGGUAAUGCUAGUCAGAUGUGAAAUACUCCGGCUCAACCGGGGAACUGCAUCUGAAACUGCAUAACUAGAGUACAGAAGAGGGAAACGGAAUUCCCGGUGUAGAGGUGAAAUUCGUAGAUAUCGGGAGAAACACCAGUGGCGAAGGCGGUUUCCUGGUCUGAUACUGACGCUGAGGCGCGAAAGUGUGGGGAGCAAACAGGAUUAGAUACCCUGGUAGUCCCU